rnacentral:rRNA from 1 species
AUGGCGGCGAGGCCUUCGCAGGACGCGCCGCUCCAGCUCCACACCGUGCAAACGGACCAGCCCCUCGCCACCGUCAACCGGCUCCUCGCCGCCCUCCACGUGGCGCUCGCCGCCGCGGCCAUCGCCCACCGCGGCGCCCACGUGAUGCUGGCUCCCGACCUGGUGCUCCUCUUCCUGUGGGCGCUGUCCCAGGCGCCCAUGUGGCGCCCCGUCUCGCGCGCCGCCUUCCCGUCCCGGCUCUCGCGCCCCGCCCUCCCGGCCGUGGACGUGAUGGUUGUCACGGCCGACCCGGACAAGGAGCCCGCGGCGAAGGUGAUGAACACGGUGGUCUCCGCCAUGGCGCUCGACUACCCGGGCGGUCGGCUCAGCGUGUACCUCUCCGACGACGCCGGGUCGCCGCGGACCCUGCUAGCGGCCAGGAAGGCCUACGCCUUGGCCAGGGCCUGGGUGCCCUUCUGCAGGAAGUACGGCGUGCGGUGCCCGUGCCCCGACAGGUUCUUCGCCGGCGACGAUCAGCUCGACCUCGGCGAUCACCACCGGCAAGAGCUCGACGACGACAGGCUAAGAAUCAAGAAUGUGUAUGAGACGUUCAAAGAGGGUGUCGAGGAGGUGAUGAACGACGCAACUCUUUCUCAGAGUUGGACAAAAGCAGAUCACCAUGCUCACGUUGAGAUCAUCACCGAUGAGCAAGGGCAAGACAGUAGCCACAGCAACUCCGGCGACGGCGACGGGGACGAGGACGCCAUGCCCUUGCUGGUCUACGUGUCUCGCGAGAAGCGGAGGUCGUCGACUCACCACUUCAAAGCCGGCGCACUCAACGUCCUUCUCCGGGUGUCGAGCCUGAUGAGCAACUCGCCGUACGUGAUGGUGCUGGACUGCGACAUGUACUGCAACAGCCGGAGCUCCCUCCUCGAGGCCAUGUGCUUCCACCUCGACGGCCGCCGCCGCGCCGACCUCGCCUUCGUGCAGUUCCCUCAGAUGUUCCACAACCUCAGCAGCAGCGACAUCUACGCCAACGAGCUCAGGCCCAUCUUCUGGGUACGUAAGAAGACCAAUCGACCAUGCAUUGCAUCAGUCAUCUUCUCAGAAUUUUCAAGUAAUCUUGGUGCAUGCAUGGUGCAGACGCGGUGGAAAGGCUUGGACGGCCUCCGGGGCCCGAUCCUCUCCGGCACCGGCUUCUGCGUCAGGAGAGACGCCGUCUACGGCGCCGGGCCGGGCAGCUCACAGGAGCAGUUCUCCGGUGUGGAGGUCGGCGAGCUGAAGAGGAGGUUUGGCGUCUCGAAUGGUCACAUAGCGUCGCUGCGCCGAUCCGGGACCGGGAGCACCAUUGUUGCUGCAGGUGAUGUUCUCCCGCAAGAUGCAGAGUUGGUGGCUUCCUGUGAUUACGAGACGGGCACCGAAUGGGGCGAGGAUGUGGGCUUCUUGUACCAGUCGGUGGUGGAGGACUACUUCACCGGCUACCGGCAGCUCUACUGCCGUGGGUGGACGUCCGUCUACUGCUUCCCGGCGACGGGGUCGAGGCCGCCGUUCCUCGGCAGCGUGCCCACCAACCUCAACGACGCGCUGGUGCAGAACAAGCGGUGGAUGUCCGGCUUGCUCGCCGUCGGCCUGUCCAGGCACUGCCCCCUCGCCUCCGCCGCCGCCAUCUCCGUGCCUCAGAGCAUGGGCUUCGCAUACUACGCCUUCACGCCAUUGUACGCCUUCCCCUUGCUCUGCUACGCCACCGUGCCGCAGCUCUGUUUCCUCCGCGGCGCCACGUCGUUCCCAGAGGCGGCUUCGACGCUCUGGUUCGCCGCCGUGUUCGCGUCGUCGUCGCUGCAGCACCUGGUGGAGGUGUCGGUGGCCAAGCGUGGGCUGGCGGCGAGGACGUGGUGGAACGAGCAGAGGUUCUGGGCACUCAACGCCGUGACGGGCCAGAUCUUCGCCUGCCUCGGCGUCGCCCUCAGCCUGGUCGGCGCCGGGGGCCGGGCGGUGGACUUCGACCUCACCAGCAAGGCGUCCGGCGACAGGCUGUACCGGGACGGCGUGUUCGACUUCGCCGGAUGCUCGGCGCUGCUCCUGCCGGCCACCACGCUCUGCCUGCUCAACGCUGCAGCGCUCGUCGGCGGGGUCUGGAAGAUGGUCGGCAGGGGCGGCAACGUGUCCGGCACCGGCGAGCUGUUCCUCCUCUGCUACGUCGCGGCACUUAGCUAUCCGCUGCUGCAAGGGAUGUUCCUCAGGCGCGAUCCUGCAAGAGUUCCUGCGCGGAUCACGGCAGUGUCCGUCGCCAUUGUUGCCACUCUGCUAUCCUUGUUUGGUUAG